UACGUAGGGUGCAAGCGUUAAUCGGAAUUACUGGGCGUAAAGCGUGCGCAGGCGGCUUUGCAAGACAGAUGUGAAAUCCCCGGGCUUAACCUGGGAACUGCAUUUGUGACUGCAUGGCUGGAGUGCGGCAGAGGGGGAUGGAAUUCCGCGUGUAGCAGUGAAAUGCGUAGAUAUGUGGAGGAACACCGAUGGCGAAGGCAGCCCCCUGGGUCAAGACUGACGCUCAUGCACGAAAGCGUGGGGAGCAAACAGG
rnacentral:rRNA from 1 species